rnacentral:misc_RNA from 1 species
UAUAGAGAAUACCGUUUCCACGAAAACGGUCAAAUCCAAAGCGACUGUCUGAACAUCUCUUUUUGAAAAUGGGUAUAAUUCUGCUGGGUCAGUAGUUCAGUUGGUUAGAAUGCCGCUCUGAUACAGCGGAGGUCGAAGAUUCGAGUUCUUCCUGACCCACCACUUAAAUUGAUGAGGUUGGAAUCAAAAACAAAUACUUGUUUUUGAUUCCAGAUGUUCUGAUGAAUAUCUUCGGAAUCUGCUUUUAUUAGCAAUCAUUGUAAAUCGGUUUUUAAUGUCGUAAAUCAAACUUUAUGGAAACAUGACUUUUGAUUUAUUGAACAUCGUAAUCUCAAAAAUCUUUCUAAAUAGAGUAAUCACGAAAGUGAUAAUUCAAUUAGAGAAGCAAGAGUCAACUUAAAUGCUUAAAAAACUCAUUAAGUUCUUUUGAUUGUGUUUGAAGACUUUCUCUUCAAGCAUAAGAUAAAAAGUAACAAAGGGUGUUUAGUGGAUGCCUUGGCAAUCAGAGGCGAUGAAGGACGUGAAAGACUGCGAUAAGUCCGGGUGAGGCGUCAAUAUCCUUUGACCCCGGAAUUUC